GUCCAUGGUGGCUGUGCGCAGGGCACUUUCGAGUGCGCUGGGUUCCUUGAUUCCCGGUCUACCAACCUGCGCAUAGCCGCCACCCAU
rnacentral:antisense_RNA from 2 species